rnacentral:misc_RNA from 1 species
GGACGAAUCCUCGCGCGGUGUGAACGCGUGGUCGUGGCGGCGGUGGCGAUCCCGAGGAGGGGGCCACCGCGCUGGAAUCCAUGGGCGGACGCCUGCCGCGUGGCCGAGCGUGAUAUGAUGCAUUGGCGCUCGCGCGCGGCGUGGCUGCCGGCCCUUGCCCGUCCGUCGGGCGGGGGAGAAGCAAGACAUU